GAAAUGUUUAUAGUACUGAUUAAGUACAUUUUCCCCAAUUUAUGUCUUUAUGCCAAAAUUCAGUUGAGGAGGUGACUUCCCCCUGCACCCAGGUGGUUUGCUGAUGUGUCCUGCCAAAUGCAUGUGCACCUAUGCAUGCUUUGUGCUCCAAGUUAAGGAGAACUCCUCUGGCCAGGAGAGUAAGAACUGUUUCAGUGACAACUGGGAGAACUCCCUUGGAUACAGGAAAGUAAGGCAGAGCACACCUGAGUUCUGUGUUGGUUUAGGGCUUUUCAGAACUGUGUACAGAAGAACAAAGAUCUGAGACUUACUCUGUUUUACUGACGUUUUCAUAUUAGUAGAAGUAAAUGGCACAGUGGUGUAAUUCAAUACUGCUGCCAUCUUCAAAUAAUAUUUGAAAUUAUAACAAAUGACAUUUUCAGGGAAAAUAAUUUAAAAUGGCUUUGAUUUUAGAUUUGUGUGUCUUUGUUUAAUGGAGGAGAGUAAACAGUGCACUGUUUUCCAUUGUUCCUAGUACUCAUACAAUAAAGAUGGCAUUUCAUGCUGGUUGACAUUUGAAA